rnacentral:lncRNA from 1 species
CACUAUUCAGCCAUCUCAAAACAAUUACCAUUGGAAAGCUCUAACUUCCAGAGGAGGAAGGAAUUGGUGUCAGAUACCCUGAAUCCUCAGCUUCCUCUGAGCCUGGUCAGGCUUGGGCCACACUGAAACUUACCUGGGAAUGUGGGAUGUCCUAACAGUUACAACGCUGGACAGAAAGGAGUUCUUAACAUUCAAGUGAAGCAACAGAAUCAUCUCACAGAAGCAAUUUCCAGUUCUCACAGUCCCGUCGAUAUCAGGAUUGAUGAAAUUCUACAAUGCUAAAUGCGGGCUAUCUCUGGACAUGUGCAACAAAAACACUGCACCAGUGCUGGCAGCCUGCAAUCCCAGAUAGCCCCCUUCACGCUACCACUUCCUUCCAGAUUUUUGUCAUUGUUGGACACAAGCACAAGGAGCGGGUUGUCUCAUCAUUUGACCUUCCACAUCUCCUGUGACAGUAAUUUUCAUCUGACCCACAUCUAAACAUGAUGUGCCACAGAUGCAAACAUCCACAGCACUAUCACCCCAUCCCCC